GAUGAACGCUGGCGGCGUGCUUAACACAUGCAAGUCGAACGGAAAGGCCCUACCUUUGUGGGGUGCUCGAGUGGCGAACGGGUGAGUAACACGUGAGUAACCUGCCCUUGACUUUGGGAUAACUUCAGGAAACUGCGGCUAAUACCGGAUAUGCGCUACUGCUGCAUGGUCGGGGUUGGAAAGUUUCGUCGGUUGGGGAAGGGCUCGCGGCUUAUCAGCUUGUUGGUGGGGUAGUGGCUUACCAAGGCGUUGACGGGUAGCCGGCCUGAGAGGGUGACCGGCCACACUGGGACUGAGACACGGCCCAGACUCCUACGGGAGGCAGCAGUGGGGAAUAUUGCACAAUGGGCGGAAGCCUGAUGCAGCAACGCCGCGUGAGGGAUGACGGCCUUCGGGUUGUAAACCUCUUUUAGCAGGGAAGAAGCGAGAGUGACGGUAAUGGGAGAAGAAGCGCCGGCUAACUACGUG
rnacentral:rRNA from 1 species